rnacentral:rRNA from 1 species
AGAGAGAGACAUGCGCGCAUAUCAAUAAGCGGAGGAAAAGAAACUAACAAGGAUUCCCCUAGUAACGGCGAGUGAAGCGGGAAGAGCUCAAAUUUGAAAUCUUAAAGGGUUUCCCUUUACGAAUUGUAGUUUAAAGAAGUGUUUUCUGUUGGAGGUUUUGGUAAAAGUUCUUUGGAAUAGGACAUCAUAGAGGGUGAGAAUCCCGUAUUUGACCAUUAUUUCCAGCUUUGUGAUACACUUUCAAAGAGUCGGAUUGUUUGGGAAUGCAGUCCAAAAUGGGUGGUAAAUUUCAUCUAAAGCUAAAUACUGGCGAGAGACCGAUAGCGAACAAGUACCGUGAGGGAAAGAUGAAAAGAACUUUGAAAAGAGAGUUAAACAGUACGUGAAAUUGUCAAAAGGGAAGCGUUUGACACCAGUGUUGUUUUCUCGAAAAUCAAUUAAAAAAGGCAGGAUUUUGUGUUGUAUUGACUUUAUCAGCUUUCUGCACUCUUUUCUUGUCUUUUUUAAUGCACUUUUCGUUUAACAAGUCAACAUCAAUUUCUUUUGUUGUAAAAGGGUCAUUGGAAGGUGGCUUUCUUUUCGGAGAAAGUGUUUAUAGCCUUUGGCCUCUGCAAUCGGAGAGAUUGAGGUCUGCAGCGUAGAUCCUUCGGGGUUAAUGACAUUUGUGCUAAGUUAUAGCCUUUCAUAGACAACUUGUUGACUAUGAUCAGUCAUGUAGCUUACUCGCUUAUGCUAUUUUACCUACGCUUAGGAUGUUGAUGUGAUACUGCGAGC